AAGGACGCAUUAUAUGGGUAGUUCUAUGCAAGUUUUCAGGUGGUAGGCUACGUUGCUCUAUCUUCAAUAAUUUUCGUUGAUCUAAGAGCAACUCUAUUCCGAUCUCUAUUCAAGAUGCAUUGAAGAUAUAGGGACCGAAAGAAAAAAAAACUCACUCUGGUAGGAUCUUUAUUCAACCUAAACUAAGGAUGCCCCUAGAAUCAACCUCGAGUCCCUUCUCCCAUGGGUGGGUAGGAGGCCCCUACUCAGCGAUUUCCUCUUCUCCGCGAGCGCUUCUCCCUCCUCCCGCGCGACGGCGCUUCCUCCCGCACCACUUCUCCUCCCUAGCUCCCUCCUGCGACGGCCCUCCACUCCCCUACCCUUCCUUCCGCUGUCCCCUCCAUUGCUCCCCUCCGCCGCCACCGCCUGCCUCCUCCACUGCCGGCAGCCGCCCCAUCUCGCGCUCCUCCGCCCUUCCCACUGUCCACGAGGUAGAGCCUUGCUCCUCCCGGUCGGGAUUUGCUACACCAACGACAGAGCCGUCUCCCUAUGCUUUGCGGUCAAGAAUCCCUCCCCAACCGAUGUAAAUCUCCUCCGAUCCCCAAGAUUGUGCUCAAGCAGGUCUGCACGUCAACAGACGUCGAGCAGUGCUGCAAGGCUGCAGGCCAUAGGCUGUCAAGUUGUGAACAUGGAUCUCAAGAAAGUGCACUUCACCAAAGCUCAAGAAGUGGUGAGGAAGGAUGUAGAGAGAGCGUUUGGUGUCCUACAAGCUCGAUUCGCCAUGGUGAGGGGUCCAGCUAGAUUUUGGGACAAGAACACCCUAUGGUACAUAAUGACAUCUGCUAUUAUCAUGCACAACAUGAUCAUUGAGAAUGAACGAAAUGAAGAAGUGGAUUACGGCUAUGACCAAGAUGGUGGUGAAGUGUUGAGGCCCCAGGAGUACCAACGACGUGAUCCAGUCUUACUUGAGGAUUUCUUGAAGAUACAUCUGGAGAUUGAGGACAAACAAGCUCAUGAAAGACUUCGAAAUGACCUUGUGGAGCAUUUGCGGGCACUUCAUGGCGCUAGCUGAAAGUAUGAGCUGCGGCUAAGAUGGCCCCUUGGUGAGGAAUAUUCCAAAGGAAGAAGUGUUGCACGAUCAUUGAAGACCGCUCGUGUCCAUCCAUCACUAACGUCAAUGAUCCAGUUCAUUGAGAAGAAUGUAAAUAUAUUUAUUGCAUCAUGUGUUCUACCAUGAAGGCUUUGUAACAAAAUCUUGAAUUUUGUGUAUAUUUGUUUAGUCCUUUGGCCUGAAUUCAUCAUCAGUCAUUUCUUUGCGAUGCUA